UCCCUGGAGGACUAGUGGUUAUGCCUCGGUGCUCUCACCUGCGCGGCACGGGUUCAAUUCCCGGCCAGGGAA
rnacentral:tRNA from 1 species